AUCCAUCAGAUGGUGUUUUAACAGACAUACAGUAUGG
rnacentral:sRNA from 1 species